rnacentral:rRNA from 1 species
UACAGAGGGUGCAAGCGUUGUUCGGAUUCAUUGGGCGUAAAGGGUGCGUAGGCGGCGCUGUAAGUCGGGUGUGAAAUCUCGGAGCUUAACUCCGAAACUGCAUUCGAUACUGCCGUGCUUGAGGACUGGAGAGGAGACUGGAAUUUACGGUGUAGCGGUGAAAUGCGUAGAUAUCGUAAGGAAGACCAGUGGCGAAGGCGGGUCUCGUGGACAGUUCCUGACGCUGAGGCACGAAGGUCAGGGGAGCAAACGGG